rnacentral:rRNA from 1 species
UACGUAGGGUGCAAGCGUUGUCCGGAUUUAUUGGGCGUAAAGAGCUCGUAGGCGGUUUGAUUAGUCGGGUGUGAAACCUCCAGCUUAACCUGGAGCCGCCACUCGAUACUGUCAUGACUAGAAUUCGGUAGGGGACCACGGAAUUCCUGGUGUAGCGGUGAAAUGCGCAGAUAUACAGGAGGAACACCCAGCAGCGAAGGCGGUGGUCUGGGGCCGACAUUGACGCUGAGGAGCGAAAGCGUGGGGAGCGAACAGG